GACGAACGCUGGCGGCGUGCUUAACACAUGCAAGUCGAACGAAGAGCGACGGAAGCUUGCUUCUAUCAAUCUUAGUGGCGAACGGGUGAGUAACGCGUAAUCAACCUGCCCUUCAGAGGGGGACAACAGUUGGAAACGACCGCUAAUACCGCAUACGAUCUAAUCUCGGCAUCGAGGAUGGAUGAAAGGUGGCCUCUACAUGUAAGCUAUCACUGAAGGAGGGGAUUGCGUCUGAUUAGCUAGUUGGAGGGGUAACGGCCCACCAAGGCGAUGAUCAGUAGCCGGUCUGAGAGGAUGAACGGCCACAUUGGGACUGAGACACGGCCCAGACUCCUACGGGAGGCAGCAGUGGGGAAUCUUCCGCAAAUGGACGAAAAGUCUGACGGAGCAAACGCCGCGUGAAGUGAAGACGGCCUUUCGGGUUGUAAAAGCUUCUGUUAAUUCGGG
rnacentral:rRNA from 1 species